UUGCUUUGGCCACUUUAAAUCAAGCAAAUUAAAUAUAAAAGCUGAUAACGAUAGAGAAUUAGCUUACGCUGCCUAAGUUGCAAGCGUCGUUUUAAUGUAAAAGCCUACUGUUUAUAUUAAGGCGUUUAAACUAAAGUAGGAAACGAAGUUAUCUACUCCAUUUAGAUAAUGGGUAAUUUAAUUGGAUAUAAUCAAAUGAGGUUGUUAACUUAACUUAUUGAUUGAAGACUAAUAAGUUAACUGCACUCGGAGAAGUCAAUAUGGAAAAAUUAUUGGACGUGGGUUCAACUCCCACCGCCUCCACCA
rnacentral:tmRNA from 1 species